UGCAGUUCGGGAAGCUUUGAUGCGUGACCCCAACAUCGGUCGCCUGUAGGUCACGCGGAGCAGUGGCGAGCCCGGUCCCGGCCGUG
rnacentral:ncRNA from 1 species